CUUCUCUGCAUGAACAAGCAUAUCUGAGAGAUCCUGAGGAUAAGUCUUAACUAAUAACUUUUUCAAGUCAUUCUUCAGGAGAUCACUCAUCAUUACAGCCAUCGUAGUCGACUGGUCCUAAUUUUGGACCUCUAGGGUCACCACAUUGAAUCUGUUCAUAAAGGAGCAGAUUGACUCACCAUCUUUUUGCUUGAUAGUA
rnacentral:lncRNA from 1 species